rnacentral:sRNA from 12 species
AAGCGUUGAAGCAUAAUAGCGUACCGGGAUGCCUUGUUAUGCAGAGCUUUCAGUAGGGGGUUGUGCAGUAACCUCAAACCGGAGUAGGCUGCAAAGCCGAAAGAAAAAUGCUCAAA